UACGUAGGGUGCAAGCGUUGUCCGGAAUUAUUGGGUGUAAAGAGCUCGUAGGCGGUCUGUUGCGUCGGCUGUGAAAACCCGGGGCUCAACUGCGGGCCUGCAGUCGAUACGGGCAGGCUAGAGUUCGGUAGGGGAGACUGGAAUUCCUGGUGUAGCGGUGAAAUGCGCAGAUAUCAGGAGGAACACCGGUGGCGAAGGCGGGUCUCUGGGCCGAUACUGACGCUGAGGAGCGAAAGCGUGGGGAGCGAACAGG
rnacentral:rRNA from 1 species